AUAUAAAAUAAUUUACGCUUAAAAUAUUUAGACAAAGAUAAAAUAUCUUCAGUCAAUCAAAUUAACUUAAACAAAUUUACGUAAAAUAUGUUAUGCUUAAAAUUUUUGGAAAACAUUUUACAUUUGGUCAACAGCCCAAUACUUAUCACUCUCGCACUUUCGCGCUAAAAUUCUCCCUCUCGAAUAUCUUUCCAAAAAAAAAUCCAGCCACUCUCUCAGAUUUCUCUAAAAAAAACCCAGCCACCUUCUCCCGCCAAUCUCCAGCUCCAAGGCAUCACCGGCCAGCUCCAACUUCCGCCGGCGCCGCCCAUCGCCGGCAAAACCAGGUUCGAUUUCUACUCCUUGCUGGAAAAACAACUCAAAGUUUCAGGGGAUGUUUUGGCGUUAACAUUGCUGAUUUUCUGCAUAGACCACCAUUUCCAGAAUUCUAUAUGCGAAUUUGUGUAAAGAAGCUAGCUGCAUUGAAUCCUCCACACUGUCAGUUACGUUUUGUCUUCUACCAUGCAGAAGCACAAACCAAGUUCCUUCUCCAACCAAUUGAGCCGGACACGUGUGUCUCAUUGAUCAAGCAAUGCAGGACCUUUCGAUCUUUGCAAUCUGUCCACACUUCCAUGCUCAAAUCACAUCUUCACCUAAACCUCUUUUUUUCAACCAACCUCAUUGCCCAAUAUGCCUCUCUAGGAUCCAUGUCUCAUGCCUACACCCUUUUCUCAACCUUCCAAUCCAAUGAUGUCUUCCUUUGGAAUGUAAUGAUCCAAGGCUUUGUUGACAAUGGCCUAUAUUACCGUUCCAUGCUUCUGUACAGCCAAAUGCGAGAACUGGGAAUUCAACCUGACAAUUUUACUUUUCCUUUUGUUCUCAAGGCAUGUGGAUGUGUUAAGGAUGUCAAAUUUGGGGUUAUAGUUCAUGGCAACGUGAUGGAAUUUGGCUAUGUAUCAGAUGUUUAUGUUGGUAAUUCACUCAUUUCCAUGUAUGGUAAGUGUGAGCAUCUUGAUACUUCUCGGCUAGUUUUUGACAAAAUGCCCCAAAAAAAUAUAGUCUCUUGGAGUUCAAUGAUUGGUGCAUAUGCUCAAAAUGGGCAUUAUGAAGAAGGAGUGUUGCUGUUCUCACAGAUGUUGGGUGAAGGAAUCAGACCAAACAGGGCUGUUAUAUUAAAUGUUAUGGCAUGUGUAAAUAGAGGAAAUGAGGCUGAUGAUAUAUGUAGAGUUGUGAUAGAUAAUGGACUUGAUUUUGAUCGAUCUGUCCAAAAUGCAGCAAUGGUAAUGUAUGCACGAUGUGGGAGAAUUGACAUUGCUCGAAGAUUCUUUGAUGGAAUCCUUGAGAAGGAUUUGGUGUCUUGGGCAUCCAUGAUUGAAGCUUAUGCUCAAGCUGAUUUGUCUCUUGAAGCCUUAAAGCUCUUUAAACAGAUGAUAUUACAAAGAAUUUUACUUGAUUCGGUGACCCUUUUGAGUGUGAUUCAUGCUUGUUCAAAUUUAGCAUCUUUCCAGCAUGCACGCUGCGUUCAUGGGAUCAUUACUCGUAGAUUUUACAAAAACCAAAUAGCACUUGAAACUUCUCUAAUCGAUCUCUAUGUAAAAUGUGGAAGUUUGGUAUAUGCUAGAAAAUAUUUUGAUAAGAUGCAGGAAAGAAAUAUAGUCUCAUGGAGUACAUUAAUUUCAGGAUAUGGAAUACAUGGCAAUGGUAGAGAAGCGCUCUACCUAUUUGAUCAGAUGAAGUCCUCAAUAAAGCCAGACCAUGUUGCAUUUUUGUCGGUCUUGUCUGCUUGCAGUCAUGGUGGAUUGAUUGUCGAAGGAUGGGAAUGCUUCAAUUCCAUGAGUAGAGAUUUUCAGGUUACACCAAGACCUGAACAUUAUGCCUGUAUGGUUGACCUCUUGGGUCGAGCUGGUCGACUAAAUGAAGCCCGUGAUUUUAUUGAGAGAAUGCCUACAAGGCCAGAUGCUGGUGUCUGGGGAGCCUUUCUUGGGGCAUGUAGAAUUCAUUUAAAUGUAGAACUAGCUGAAGUUGCUGCAAAAUAUUUAUUUGAGUUAGAUGCAGAUAACCCUGGUCGGUAUGUUCUCUUGUCCAAUAUUUACUCAUCAUCAGGCAAAAGAAAUGAUGCUGAUAGGGUUAGAGCUCUAAUGAAACGAAGAGGGGUGAGGAAAAUUGCUGGCCAUACAAUUAUAGAGAUUGAAAACAAGGUCUAUACUUUUGUGGCUGGGGAUCAGUCAAACCCCCAAACUAGUUUGAUCUAUACAGAGUUGGAGAAGAUGAUAAAUAGAAUUCGAGAAGUUGGGUACAUGCCUGAUCUGAACUUUGUAUUGCACGAUGUGGAGGAAGAGAUGAAGGAGAAGAUGUUAAAUGUGCAUAGUGAGAAGCUGGCAAUUGUUUUUGGGCUAUUAAAUACAAGACCUGAUAGUGUCAUUAGAAUAAAGAAGAAUCUUAGAGUUUGUGGGGACUGUCAUACGGCUACCAAGUUUAUCUCUAAGGUUACAGAAAGGGAAAUCAUUGUUAGAGAUGCUCAUCGAUUUCACCAUUUUAAGGAAGGAGCAUGCUCUUGUGGAGAUUAUUGGUGAUGAUAUUUCAGUCUGAUUUCUAGUGAAGGAUUUUUUUGUAAUGAAGAUGAGAAAUGCUGCUAAGAUUAGGCGAGAACUCAAACAAGCAUGACCAAUAAAUAUGUUAGGUAAUUUUGAGAAAGCUCUCAUCCCUCUUUUUGUUACAUUCUUUAGGAAGCUUACCAUUUUGAGCUCUCCUUCUUUUGAAUAAAAUACAUUAUUUUUCAAAACAGAAAAGAGAAAGCUCUCAUCUUUCCUAGGAUGCUGGCUGGAGCAAGGUAUAGACUGAAAAGAAUUAAAAAAGGAAAAAAGGAGAAGAAGCAAGGUAUAGACAAAAAUGCAAGGCACCUGUCUUUUAUCAUGGAUUUGUUCAUAAUCUCCAUGAUCUAUUUUAAGCUCUUCUCAGAAAAAGGGGAAAGUGACCCCACUUGUUUAAACGGUUGUUUGAAAUAAAAAUUAUCUUGUGAAAUACUCCAGAUGUUUUAUUUAAGCCCGAUCUAUGUCUAAAUAAUAAAAUUUUCUAGUGAAUUAUGCUGGAUAUUUUACCAAAAGCUUGAUCUUUUAGGUGUGGUUUGGUAUUGGGUGAUUCUCUUGCAUGUACUCAAGUCAUCAAGGCCAACCUGGGUAGACUUUAAGGGAAAAGAUCUAACUGCAUAACUGAGUGGAUUUCUUAGUUGAAACAGUCUAAAUUAGAAAAUUAAAUUGAUUAGGUAUGGGCUGUAUGGCUUGAUAUUUUCUUGAAAUAGACUGAAUUUGACCAUUUGUUUUUGUAACUAAAAGCUUUGUAACUCAACUAGUACUUCUCGGUGUUUCCAAUUCAGAUGUCUAGGGUUCAAAUACCCCCACCCCCAACUAUUAAAUUUUUUAUGGGUCAUGUUAACGGGAUGCCCUUAGGGCAAAUGUUAAUAAAUUAUAUUAGGAAAGUUUUUAAGACCACUUUCAUGGGAAGUAUAAAAAGUUGUCAAAAAAAAUUAAUUGCUUUAUCAUUUUUUCAUAAUAUAUUUCUAAAAAUAGUUUCUAAACCAAUGUUUUUAAGCCAUUUGUUAACAUUUCCCAUUAUUUAUUCAUUUUAUAAACUGUCGGUUUAAGAUACUAUCCUGAAGGUCUCAGAUAAUUUUUUCCUUCUUAAUAAGCUACUAUAUUGGAAUAUCAAAAAUUUUUAGUUCAGCUUGCACAGGAACUGGUUCAGUGAUGUGGUCCUAAACAAGAUCAUUUUUUUUCUUCCUGUUCCUAAUGGAAUUUCUGAUACGUGAACUCAUUCUUGUUUUGCUGAGGAUCUAUUACUGCAACUCUGUAAUGUGAAUCAAUAAUUCUAUUAUGCAUCAGCCAUAUAUAGCAGGUCUCAAUGUGUACGAGAUAUUUCUUCCAUGUGUGAAGGGAAGCCAGAAUGGUCAUUCCCUUGAAGACAUUACGUGGAAAUUAUGUUGUUUAAAGAAGAAUUAGGGGUCUGUUUAAUUUAUAUAUAUUUCAUAUCUUUGAACAAGAAAAUGUCAGGCAUAUGCCUUUUCUUACAUGAAAGCUCGUCCAUAAAUCUUCGAGAAGUACUAUUUUCAUUGUUUAUGUUCUUAUUUUUAGGGUGCUUAAGAAAUUGGAGUUUUGGUGUCCGUUUAGAUCA